rnacentral:lncRNA from 1 species
GGGGGAGGCACAGCCACGGGGGGGGCGGCUCCCCCCACCGCCAGUAUAGGAUCUUCUGCACGCGGCCCUUCAGCACCGGGCAGGUGCACCGCGGGCAGAGCCACUCCCCGUUGGGGACCUCGGGCAGGGGGGGGUUGAGGCAGUGGAUGUGGUAGGAGGAGAUGCAGGCGUCGCAGCACAGCAGCUCCCCGCCGUCCUUACACACGCGGCAGUACUCCAUGUGGUCGUCCUCCUCCUCCUUCUCGCCCUCCUCCUCCAGCUCCUCCUCCUCCUCAUCCUCCUCCUCCUU